UACAGAGGGUGCAAGCGUUAAUCGGAAUUACUGGGCGUAAAGCGCGCGUAGGCGGCUUUGCAAGUCGGGUGUGAAAUCCCCAGGCUUAACCUGGGAACUGCAUUCGAGACUGCAUUGCUAGAGUAUGGGAGAGGGAAGUGGAAUUUCCGGUGUAGCGGUGAAAUGCGUAGAUAUCGGAAGGAACAUCAGUGGCGAAAGCGACUUCCUGGACCAAUACUGACGCUCAUGUGCGAAAGCGUGGGGAGCAAACAG
rnacentral:rRNA from 1 species